rnacentral:rRNA from 1 species
GGACUACAGGGGUAUCUAAUCCUGUUUGCUCCCCACGCUUUCGUGCAUGAACGUCAGAAAUGGACCAAGAAGCUGCCUUCGCCAUUGGUGUUCCUCUCGAGAUCUACGCAUUUUACCGCUACUCCGAGAAUUCCACUUCUCUCUUCCACUCUCUAGUUCACCAGUAUCACUUGCAUACCUUCAGUUAGGCCGAAGAAUUUAACAAGUGACUUAACAAACCGUCUGCGCACCCUUUACGCCCAAUUAAUCCGAAUAACGCUUGCACCCCUCGUAUUACCGCGGCGGCUGGCAC